UCUGGUGAAAUGAUGUGCGGCAGUGGGUGACCUGUUGGACUUUUUACGAUACGAUGCUCGUUUUUUUUCAUGAAAGAUCAUUAGGUCUUUUUUUUUCUUUUUUGAUGAGGAGCUGUAUGCCAUUGCUGGCCUGCGGCUAUUACGGCAAUCACUUCUCCAUAAAGGACAUAACCUUCACAUCUGUUCUCCUGAGACUGUUUUUAAAAAAUACUGAGGGAUUGCUCCACAUUCCAUGCCAGACUGUGUGCUGUGGGGAUCCCAGCAGGCAUGAUGGAGCACAAACAAACAAGCGGGAGGACUGACUAAUGGUCUUUCCCCUGAUCUGCAGAGCACGCCAGAGCUCCCGCAGUCAGCAGAGGUGAGGUUACCUGAAGAGGAGGCGGUAACAUAGGCUGAACAGUCCCUCUCGUCUCCAUUCCGAUUGGCUGGACGGAUCUGGUAACAGCAGCUCGUGAAGGUGAGCACUUAUGGAAUGAUUCAUCUCAGAC